rnacentral:rRNA from 1 species
GUCCACGCCGUAAACGAUGCGCACUAGAUCGGUGCGGCUCUGACGCCGGAUCGGUCGGAGUAAAAACGAUAAGUGCGCCGCCUGGGGAGUACGGUCGCAAGGCUAAAACUCAAAGGAAUUGACGGGGGCUCACACAAGCGGUGGAGCAUGUUGCUUAAUUCGAUGCAACGCGAAGAACCUUACCUGGGCUUGACAUGGCCGGAUUAGUUCCCGGAAACGGGAAUGACACCCGCAAGGGUGGAACGGUCACAGGUGCUGCAUGGCUGUCGU